rnacentral:rRNA from 1 species
GUGCCAGCAGCCGCGGUAAUACGUAGGGUGCAAGCGUUAAUCGGAAUUACUGGGCGUAAAGCGUGCGCAGGCGGUUUUGUAAGACAGUGGUGAAAUCCCCGGGCUCAACCUGGGAACUGCCAUUGUGACUGCAAGGCUAGAGUGCGGCAGAGGGGGAUGGAAUUCCGCGUGUAGCAGUGAAAUGCGUAGAUAUGCGGAGGACACCGAUGGCGAAGGCAAUCCCCUGGGCCUGCACUGACGCUCAUGCACGAAAGCGUGGGGAGCAAACAG